rnacentral:rRNA from 1 species
GAUGAACGCUGGCGGCGUGCCUAAUACAUGCAAGUCGAGCGAACAGAUGAGGAGCUUGCUCCUCUGACGUUAGCGGCGGACGGGUGAGUAACACGUGGAUAACCUACCUAUAAGACUGGGAUAACUUCGGGAAACCGGAGCUAAUACCGGAUAAUAUAUUGAACCGCAUGGUUCAAUAGUGAAAGACGGUUUUGCUGUCACUUAUAGAUGGAUCCGCGCCGCAUUAGCUAGUUGGUAAGGUAACGGCUUACCAAGGCAACGAUGCGUAGCCGACCUGAGAGGGUGAUCGGCCACACUGGAACUGAGACACGGUCCAGACUCCUACGGGAGGCAGCAGUAGGGAAUCUUGCGGAAUGGGGGAAAGGCUGACGGAGCCACGGCGCGUGGGUGAAGAAGGUCUUCGGGUCGUAAAACCCUGUUAUUGGGGAAGAACAAAAGUGGAAGUAACUAUGCACGUCUUGACGGUACCUAAUCAGAAAGCCACGGCUAACUACGUG